AAGUCGUAACAAGGUUUCCGUAGGUGAACCUGCGGAAGGAUCAUUAGCACUGAUAGAGGCUUGGGUAUUGUCGCGAGACGUACUUUUGUCCUCGUUAAACACCUGUGAGCAUAGAUUGAUUUUGUGGAUGGGAGGGUGGAUGAGUGUGUUGUAGGAUUGCGGCCUGGCUUAUGGCCUGGUUGCGACCUAGGACCACUCUAAAGCUCUUUCCCUUUUUACUUUUUUAAAACCCCAACAACCAUAUCUAAAAACUUAUCAAAAGACUAAAACUUGCCUCUUGCCCACAAAGCAAGAGACAACCUUGAUAUUCUAACCAAAGAAACAAUUCUUAGCAACGGAUAUCUUGGUUCCC
rnacentral:misc_RNA from 1 species